AUUGAACGCUAGCGGGAUGCUUUACACAUGCAAGUCGAACGGUAGCACGAAGAAAGCUUGCUUUCUUUGGUGACGAGUGGCGAACGGGUGAGUAAUGUAUCGGAACGUACCCAGUAGCGGGGGAUAACUACGCGAAAGCGUGGCUAAUACCGCAUACGCCCUACGGGGGAAAGGGGGGGAUCGUAAGACCUCUCACUAUUGGAGCGGCCGAUAUCGGAUUAGCUAGUUGGUGGGGUAAAGGCCCACCAAGGCGACGAUCCGUAGCUGGUUUGAGAGGACGACCAGCCACACUGGGACUGAGACACGGCCCAGACUCCUACGGGAGGCAGCAGUGGGGAAUUUUGGACAAUGGGGGCAACCCUGAUCCAGCCAUGCCGCGUGAGUGAAGAAGGCCUUCGGGUUGUAAAGCUCUUUCGGCCGGGAAGAAAUCGCACGGGCUAAUACCCUGUGUGGAUGACGGUACCGGAAUAAGAAGCACCGGCUAACUACGUGCCAGCAGCCGCCGUAA
rnacentral:rRNA from 1 species